GACGAACGCUGGCGGCGUGCUUAACACAUGCAAGUCGAACGGAAAGGCCUUUUCGGAGGUACUCGAGUGGCGAACGGGUGAGUAACACGUGGGUGAUCUGCCCUGCACUCUGGGAUAAGCCUGGGAAACUGGGUCUAAUACCGGAUAGGACCGCACUUUAGUGUGUGUGGUGGAAAGUUUUUUCGGUGUAGGAUGAGCCCGCGGCCUAUCAGCUUGUUGGUGGGGUAAUGGCCUACCAAGGCGGCGACGGGUAGCCGGACUGAGAGGUUGGUCGGCCACAUUGGGACUGAGAUACGGCCCAGACUCCUGCGGGAGGCAGCAGUGGGGAAUAUUGCACAAUGGGCGCAAGCCUGAUGCAGCGACGCCGCGUGGGGGAGGACGGCCUUCGGGUUGUAAACUCCUUUCGCCAGGGACGAAGCGUUUUGUGACGGUACCUGGAGAAGAAGCACCGGCUAACUACGUG
rnacentral:rRNA from 1 species